AGGGUUGGGAGGCAAUGAUGGUAAAGUAAUAGAUGUGCAAUACAGAGUCAAAGUGUACUAUGUGUUUGAAAGAAAAAUAGGGUAUGAGGAUAGAGGUUGGGGGCAUACCAUUUAGUUACAGUGAUCAGGACAAACCUCUUUGAGGGUGUGAUGUUUGAGCAGAGACCGGAAAGUGGGAGGAAGUGAACCAUGUGGCUAGCUGAAUGUAGACUGCUCCAGACUGAGGAUGUAGCAAUAGCAAAGCCCCUGGAGCAUCCUCAGGAGCACCAAGGAGGGCACAGUCAUUGAAGUGUAGUCAGCAAAGGGAGAGGGAAGGCGCUCUAGCUAUCCACUUCUCUCUGAUUGUCUUUUUUCUGCAUUUUUAUUUCUGGUUCUCUGUCUUUGGCCCUAUGUGUUCUUAUCUAUGUCUCUCUCUUUCUCUCUCCAUUUCUCCUCUGUCUCUCACUGUGGCUCUCAGUUUCUGCUUCAGUCUUUCUGAGUAUUUUCUGGCUGUAGUUCUCUCUUGGUCUCUUUCUCUAUUUCUCUCUCUCUCUCCUCUCUCUGUGUGUGAGUGUGUGUCUUUGUGUCUGUGUGUUGUGUGUCUCCUCUCUGUGUUUGUUUUUUGUGUGUGUCUCUCUCUGUCUCUCUCUGUGUGUCUCUAUGUCUCUCUGCCUCUCUGUCCCUGUCUCUCUGUCUCUCUCUCUCACAUACAUGCAUGCAUACACAUACACACACACACACACAUUUGGAAAUCUACCUCUCUCUGCCACCU
rnacentral:lncRNA from 10 species